UUAACGAUAUGAAAUUAAAUUAUGUAGGUGCGUAUUAUGUUUAAGGUCUUGUUUUUUCUCUUUCUUACUAUAAAUUAUAAUUUGUAACUAAUGUUUAAGGAAGGUAUGAUCUCUAGUUUUGGCAAUAAACUUUUUUUUUACUUUUUUAAAUGGUCAGGUACACUAAUGUCACGACAGUUUAUUUUUAAAUGUCACUUUAAGUAAAAACAUUAGUAAAGCAGUAAAAUCCCAGUCUAUCCUUUCACAAAAAUCAAAAUUAAACCGAACAUUCUCUGCUCACAUAAGUCAAAAGUCCACACCUCGACAUUGGCAGAAUCCACCUUGCUAGAAUUAGCGAGGAGUAAAAGCCAUUUAUGGAAAAAAAAA